AGUGUGAAGUUUGAGGACCCCGUGCCUUUGAACAUACUCCAUGAAUCCAGCAGAGGAAGAGGUAAACAGUGCGUCUCCUCUGAACACUGCAGGUGCCACUGAAGCCACAGGAAAUACACCGCAACCAGCAAGAAUAUCACAACCUGCUGCCAACCCUCCUGGGACUACUGAUCCUAGAACUCCAGGACCCACUCGUGCUCCUCCGGGACCUGCCAGUGUUCCAGCUGCUGUUACCA